rnacentral:rRNA from 1 species
GACGAACGCUGGCGGCGUGCUUAACACAUGCAAGCCGAACGGAAAGGCCCUGCUUGCUGUUUACUCGAGUGGCGAACGGGUGAAUAACACGUGGGGGAUCCGCCCUCCACUUCUGGGUAAACCUGGGGAACUGGGCCUAAUAAAGGGCAGGGACUAUUUUUAUGGUCAAGGAUGGAAAGCUUUUUCGGUGUAGGAUUAGCUCUCGGCCUGUCCGCUUGUUUGUGGGGUAAUGGCCUACCAAGGCGGCUACUGGUAGACGGCCUGAGAGGGUGGACGGCCACAUUGGGACUGAGAUACGGCCCAGACUCCUACUGGAGGCAGCAGUGGGGAAUAUUGCACAAUGGGCGCAAGCCUGAUGCAGCGACGCCGCGUGGGGGAUGACGGCCUUCGGGUUGUAAACUCCUUUCGCUAGGGACGAAGCUUUUUGUGACGGUACCUAGAUAAGAAGCACCGGCUAACUACGUG